CAAAGGAGCAAUCCGAUUAUGGAUGGACCCGCGUCUGAUUAGCUAGUUGGUGGGGUAAAGGCCUACCAAGGCGACGAUCAGUAGCCGGCCUGAGAGGGUGAACGGCCACACUGGGACUGAGACACGGCCCAGACUCCUACGGGAGGCAGCAGUGGGGAAUCUUCCGCAAUGGACGAAAGUCUGACGGAGCAACGCCGCGUGUAUGAUGAAGGUCUUCGGAUUGUAAAGUACUGUCUUUGGGGAAGAAUGAAAUGACGGUACCCAAGGAGGAAGCCCCGGCUAACUACGUGCCAGCAGCCGCGGUAAUACGUAGGUGGCAAACGUUGUCCGGAAUUACUGGGCGUAAAGGGCGAGUAGGUGGUUUAUUAAGUCAGAAGUGAAAACUCCGGGCUCAACUCGGAGACUGCUCCUGAAACUGGUAGACUUGAGUGCAAGAGAGGGAAGUGGAAUUCCUAGUGUAGCGGUGAAAUGCGUAGAUAUUAGGAGGAACACCAGUGGCGAAGGCGACUUCCUGGCUUGUAACUGACACUGAGGCGCGAAAGCGUGGGGAUCAAACAGGAUUAGAUACCCUGGUAGUCCACGCCGUAAACGAUGCUCACUCGCUGUUUGCGGUAUCGACCCCUUCUGUGCCGAAGUUAACACAUUAAGCAUUCCACCUGGGGAGUACGUACGCAAGUAUGAAACUCAAAGGAAUUGACGGGGGCCCGCACAAGCGGUGGAGUAUGUGGUUUAAUUCGACGCAACGCGAAGAACCUUACCAAGGCUUGACAUCCUACGAAUCCUUAGGAAACUCUUGCCCUUCGGGGAGCGUAGAGACAGGUGGUGCAUGGUUGUCGUCAGCUCGUGUCGUGAGAUGUUGGGUUAAGUCCCGCAACGAGCGCAACCCCUGUGUUUAGUUGCUAACGCGUGAUGGCGAGCACUCUAGACAGACUGCCGGUGAUAAACCGGAGGAAGGUGGGGAUGACGUCAAAUCAUCAUGCCCCUUAUGUUCUGGGCUACACACGUGCUACAAUGGCCGGUACAGCGAGUUGCAAAGCCGCGAGGUGGAGCAAAUCCGAGAAAGCUGGUCUCAGUUCGGAUUGCAGGCUGCAACUCGCCUGCAUGAAGUCGGAAUCGCUAGUAAUCGCGCAU
rnacentral:rRNA from 1 species